CCGUAACUAUAACGGUCCUAAGGUAGCGAAAUUCCUUGUCGGGCAAGUUCCGACCUGCACGAAUGGCAUAAUGAUGGCCACACUGUCUCCUCCUGAGACUCAGUGAAGUUGAAAUGUUUGUGAUGAUGCAAUCUCCCCGCGGCUAGACGGAAAGACCCCAUGAACCUUUACUGCAGCUUUGCAUUGGACUUUGAACCGAUCUGUGUAGGAUAGGUGGGAGGCAGUGAAGCUAGGACGCCAGUCUUAGCGGAGCCAACCUUGAAAUACCACCCUGAUUUGUUUGAGGUUCUAACCUAGGAGCGUGAUCCGCUUCGGGGACCGUGCAUGGCAGGCAGUUUGACUGGGGCGGUCUCCUCCUAAAGGGUAACGGAGGAGUGCGAAGGUACGCUAGGUACGGUCGGAAAUCGUGCUGAUAGUGCAAUGGCAAAAGCGUGCUUGACUGCGAGACCGACAAGUCGAGCAGAUACGAAAGUAGGUCAUAGUGAUCCGGUGGCUCUGCAUGGAAGGGCCAUCGCUCAACGGAUAAAAGGUACUCUGGGGAUAACAGGCUGAUACCGCCCAAGAGUUCAUAUCGACGGCGGUGUUUGGCACCUCGAUGUCGGCUCAUCUCAUCCUGGGGCUGUAGCCGGUCCCAAGGGUAUGGCUGUUCGCCAUUUAAAGAGGUACGUGAGCUGGGUUUAAAACGUCGUGAGACAGUUUUGUCCCUAUCUGCCGUGGGCGUUGGAAGAUUGACGGGGGCUGCUCCUAGUACGAGAGGACCGGAGUGGACUCACCUCUGGUGUACCGGUUGUCACGCCAGUGGCAUCGCCGGGUAGCUAUGUGGGGAAAGGAUAACCGCUGAAAGCAUCUAAGCGGGAAACCUGCCUGAAGAUAAGUCUUCCUGGAGGCUAGACCUCCCUGAAGAGUCGUUCGAGACCAGGACGUUGAUAGGUUGGAUGUGCAAGCGCUGUGAGGCGUUGAGCUGACCAAUACUAAUUGCUCGUGAAGCUUGAUCCU
rnacentral:rRNA from 1 species